AUAUUACAGACACUUGAUUUUCUUAUUUAUGCGAUCAGCCGUGUUUUAAAUGUGAAACGAUGGCUACGGUGAGAAUUCAAUUCUGCGUAACAUGCUCCAGCUGUUUUCUCCCCAAACUACUGCACAGCGCGACCGCGGGGAACGCCGAUCCCACCCAGCGGAACGCGAGCCCGAGCACCUGAGGCAUUAUUCCUAACUUUCCGACAUAAUCUCACGCCGGCCGGUUUUAACCAGCACAAAAGUUGAUUUUGAUUUAGUUCUGCUCCUCGAGCGAAGCCUGGCCCGGUCACCAGCAUUUGCUCACCCCAUGUUUGUGUGCGACUUCACUCGCUGCCCGGCUUUUGUCUCCCCGAGCGGCGGAGGGUUCCCGGGGCCGCAGGGGCUGGCGUAGCGCCCGCCAGCCGGGGACCCCGAGCCGAGCGCGGAGAAGCUCCGGGCCCAGCCCCGGGCGCCCCGCGGGCCCCGCUCCGGGCCGGGCCAGCCGCCGCGCUGGAGGGCAGGACCCGUUGGCGGCACGGCGCGCAGGGUCAAGGCCAGGGCCGGGAGGCGAAGAGCCGAGCAGGUUGCUAAUGGAAGGAAAAGGCUGUUACCUGAGGCAGCGGCAGAAGGCAUUCUUGGAUUACUCACUUGGGCUUCUCUAGAACAUGGAAAUAAAGCAGCUACCCACCUAAACUACCAAAAUCCAACACUGCACUCUCUUUUGGUAAGGAAAAAGCUGAGUAACAGCUCAUGUUUAGUGGCCCUUGGCACCCUUAAAGGUCCACAUUGCAGAUGGGAGCACUGACCGCAAUGAACGUGGCCUGGCCUCCGCCACGGGAACACCUCCUAUGAGAAGCAGCAGCUCGGAUGGAAACAUGAUUUAAUUGACAGCCCCAGCAUGGGACCACACAGGUCCAUUGCCUGUGGGACCAACGGAAGGGAGAGAGUCUGGUUCUCCUGCUGGUGGCCCCAGCACAAAGGAAAAGGGUAAAACCAGCCAGGCCCCUCCAGAGUCUGAAGCCCAGUCUGGUGGUUGAGUAUGGUAAGAAGGGCUGCUGGUUUCUGUGCUGGCUGGUGCACUGCAAUGAUGGUCCCAGCUAUGAGCCAAGCGCAGUUCACUGCAAGGCCCAUGGUUUAGGGGCAAGAAUUGAAGGCUAGGACCUGCCAAACUAACAGCUAAUAUUUGGGCGCUGCAGCCUCACCUUGUUAAAAAGCACAUAUUUUUCUGUAACAGCUCACAUGCAAGAUAACAUCAGUAAACGCCUUCUAGAGCACAGUAGUGUUGUACUGUCACCGUGACAUAAAGAUACUAAAGAACUAUAGAAGUCAAGAAAAACGACACAUUUUUAGGCACAAAAUGACACGUGCAGCACCCAGCAUCAGCUGCAGGGUCAUGGAUCUUCCCUUAUUAUCAUUAAUAGGAAGCACAUUACAUUGCACUAUGGCCCCUGGGAUUUUCUGGUGAAGUUAGAGGGUGAAUGGUCAAUGAAAGAACAGACUUUAGGGCACAAUCGGGAUUCCCCAACUUCGAUGAGAUGCUCCAUUCAUGCCAGCAGGGACGGAGGUUUAAAUAGUGAGGAGAGAAACAACUCUCAGGCACCUGCCUAGGUUGAAGUAAGAGUGCAUAUGUUUAAAGCUAUUCUACAGCCCACGGGAGAACAUGAGCAAGCACCUCCAUAACAGUGGACUCACAGGUGGAGAAGAUAACAACAGUCCCACUGUGUAGUUUGUUUAACACAAGUGCACCUCCUUGCACAAGGAUCUGAUCUUGCUUGGUGUUGGCUCACAGUUCCCAUCCCUUUAUCCCGUAUUUCUACAUACAAGGGUUUUAUUUUAUGCUGCAGACACCAUUGUCUAAGUGGCAUUAUUCAGCCUGGCAUUGCCUCAGGCUCAUUCCGUGUCCAUUUUAGGGUGCGCUGUGCUGCAGAAGCUGCUGGUGGUGCAAUGGUGAGUGCCCAGCAGUGCUGAGAGAGCAAGCCACAGCUCCUCUCCUGCUGGUGACUUAGCUCUUCCACAAGCUAAAAGCCUUGAAUGUUUGAGAAGUGAGACAUACUGCAGGACUUGCCCUCAUCUUUAUUCUUUAAAGUUUUUUUGUUCAUAUUCAGGACAUUGUUGAAAGGAAAUUAAAAUCAGAACAGGGGAAAGAGACAGCGAGGGGGCAAGGAAGGCAGAAACUGCUCAGAUCAGCUCGGUUUGAAAUUGCUUGUAACAAAUUUGCUUGUGAUAUUAAAACUGACAAUUAUUUGUACUACAUCAGAAUACAGGAGUGUUUCCACAUCAGAGCCUUCUGAAGAGAGGCUGCAAAUGCAAUCUCACUCUUAAGGGAAUGAGCACAGGAUUGCACAAAUUUCCAGUGAGGACUGCACUGACACAUAUAAAUUGCAGUGCCCUUCUGAAAAGGAACAAACAAAACCAAAACUAAGCUCUCAGUGAACAUAAGAUCACAAGGAACUGGCCACAGGUGGCCACUGGCAGAGUUUUAUGCCAGUGGGAGGAGAAAGAAGAAUUGAUGUAAGUAUUUUGGAGGAGUGAAUGAAUUCUGUCACAACCUGCAGUGGGAUACAAGCAAGCAGCACAGACAGGCAGAGCAGGGCAGGCAAGUAGGGCAGGGUAGGCAAGGCAAGAGGACAAGCAGGAGAGGCGGCCAGGGGUAGGAAGUGGUAGGGCCGGCAGGACAGGCAGGGGAAUCCUCUGGAUCCACUGACUCCUUUUUGGCAACGCACCCAACUGCCUGCCCAUCUCCAGCCACCCCGGCUUGCCUCAUUUGUGCACUGUUUUCAAACAGUUCUGCUACAGCAGAGGUUUCUGAGAAUGCCUUUGUUGUAUGAGAACAGUCUUGAAAGAACAGUGAGAAGCUAGCUCACAGCUGAACUGGAGAGACUGCAGAUGUCUAUUUUUAUUCUUGUUAAUUUAAAAAAUAUAAUUUUUUACUCAAUGCAGUUUUUUCCUUGCCUCGACAUGAAAUUAUUCGGUGAUACCUCCUGUGUGCUAGACUGACCAGGACCCUUACACUGUCCACUGCCUGGCCCGCUCUCCUGGUGCUAUCACCUCCCCACACAUGCUGUGUGGCUACUUCCUGGGGCUUCUUUUUACACAGGGUGCAGAUUGUUUGAAACAGUGGAGAUAAUGAUCUGCUGAGCUACGGCUAUGGUGCAUAACCUGCCAUACUGACUGCCCGUCAGAUUAGGUAUCUUCCUAAAAGUUCUGGUACAACCUCUUGUACAAGACAGCUCUGUGGCUGGGGAAGGACUCUGACUUGUGCAAUGCAUGAGGGCUGGAGUUAAAUCAGAACACAUUUUCAUAAUGAUCCCUUUUGAUCUCUCAGCAAAUAAGAGAAUGGCUUUCAUUAGGCAUGUUCAAGAACAGGUUAGACCACCAUCUGUCACUGAUGCUAUCGACACAGCUGAAAGUGCCUCAGUGUAGAUGAUCUCUUCCAGCCCUGUAUUUGUAUGGCAACUAUGUGUUUUCAUAGCUUUCUGAAAAAUGGUUCGAUUAAUGGUUUGAACUCCAAGACACAAAGACAUACAUGUCCAAUUUCACAGCUAUGUGCCCAGAGCACAGCAAGGAUGUGGCAAGUCUGCAAAUCAGGGAUUCACCCAUGAAAGUCUGUUCUGUUCUUCACUGAAAGCAUUACAGUUCAUUUACCUUUACCUGGCCACCUCCCUGCUUGUGCACUCAAUAGUGUGCACACCCAAGUUGCCUCAGCCCGCACUCAAGAGUGUGGGACUUCUGCUGGGGACUUCUGGGGAAGCCAGUUACCUCUUAGAGAAGAGAAACAUUAUGCCUUAAAUUUAUUAAGCAGUUGGGGGGAAAAAAAAGUCUGAGUGUCCUUGAUGAAAAUACAGCAGAAAUAUUUAGAAUGUGAUUAUUUACAUAGAACAGCAACUUCGAUAGUCUUGGCCAAAGAUAUGCAAAAAGAUACAAAAGCUAUGCAAAGGUUUUAGUUUUUUGAGAUAUGUCAGAAAAAGCCGCCUUCUCAAGGAGUGGAGGUAGGAUUCGCCAUAUGGAAAUUUAAUGAUGUCACCUAAGGGUACUUUUCAUGUUAAUCAAUAUGUAGGUAUUACUUCCCUAGAGUUAUUUGGAGCUAUUCAUUGGUACAAUGUUCCACCUGAGCUUGGGCUAUUUUACACAGGUAUUGUGACAAUAACUAUCAGAUUACCAGUGCUCCUAAACCUGAAUCCAAUCCUUUCCCCAUGGCCAUUUUUGAGGGCUGUUGGCCUGCUCAGAUAAUAGCUUGCUGAGCAGAGCAGUCCAAGUAGUGCAAGAAAAGGUUGAUGCUUGCAUCUACAAUUAUGGAGGGUGAAACACUGUGGUUUCAUAGGGGUUUGAAUGUUGGAGAGACAAAAGAAGAGCAGGCAGAUGAAAUUAUGCAACUUCUUUUCCAUUAACACCAAGUGGAAGGGGGAUACAGGCAUUUAAUAUUUUGGCUGAACAACUGCAAAGAAUAAUUUGAAGCCCAUUAUCAAGACAUACCUUACAUCCAUUGUAAAGACAGAGGGCAUCAACCAUAAAGCAGCACUUUGCCAUAUCACAUUUUGUUUCUGCAGAUAGGGCUAAAAGUUGAAAAAAGCAAAAUAAGACUGUGGUUUUAAGGAAAUCUGUAGUUCUUGUCACACUUCGCACAAGGCUUGUGCUUUGUCAGCCUGCUGUGUACUGUUUGUUGACUACAUAACCCCCCUGGACCCUGGCACCAGCUGAAAUAGGCAUUAAAUGGCCAUUAUCAGCCAAGUCCUUACAUCUGUUUUGAUUUUCUUUCUGAUGCUGGAUCCCAAUGGGAGAUCAAAAUCCACAAUUAGGCUAAAAUAUUCAGCUCAGGUGACACAGCAGAGCAUGUGUCUGCAGUAGCUGUAUUGAGAGGAAAACACCUCUAGGGGUAAUGAAGUCUGGUAGCCUAGAAUAGAGUAGUAACGGGCCACAGGCUUUAUGCUGAUUUUGUGAUGCCUCAGGGCUGAGGCUUGUCAGGAUUGCUUUGUCUGAACUUUCCUUAACCUGCCUUGAGCUGUCCCUCUGUUUAGCUGUGAAAGCAAUUUUUCUAAUGACUAGGGAAUUCAGGUGUAAUUGUAGGAUUUGAAGGCCAGUAAAGAAAAACAAGAUGGAAAGUUGGUAGCAAACACAAAAAUGCCCCCAAGCAAGCGAAAAAUAAGGAAAAAGAAACCAACAACAUCACACUCAUCCUAGUGAAGGAUCUGGGAUGUUGAUGGCUGGCAGAAUUUCCUCACUUACCCCCAUUGCAGCCACUGACCAUUAGACCCGGAGCCAUCAGUGCAAAUGUGAGCAUAACAUUAAAAAAAAGGGGGUAAAGGUAGGAAGUGUGCAUAGAUCAAUUUUACCUUGUUGGGUUUAUUUUUUUCCUGUAGUAGUGUAGCUGUAGUGUCCUCUCUUCUUGUCUCUCCUCUCUUGUAAUUAGAUCUAGACUAAUAAUAA